UUCAGCACGAAAUAAGGGUCGAGUAGGAGGGUCAGUAGAAGGAUUUUCCUAAUUAGCAGCCUAUUGAUCACCAUGAUGCUUAUAGAUCAAAUGGGUGGUAUCUCGAUAGAAUCCUAUCUUGUAGAUCACAUCCAUAUCGAAUUUGUUAUCACGAGCAUCGAGUGAGAUCUUAGACUCUGGAAAAAGAAACGUCAGAAUACUCAAAUAAAGCAGUUAUGAGAAUAUCAUAAGGCAAGGGUCCAUAACUUGAUGCCUCAAAUGACUCAUACAUUUAUUGAUUUCAUCAUAUACAAACAUAAAUACAUGUUACAUAUAAAUAUGUAAAGAAAGACAAUUAAGGUCAUAUUUUGAAUAAAAGGGUAAUACCUUUAUUGUAGCCUCAAGUUGUAAUGAACAAAAACAAAAUCACUAAGUUUUUGAUGCUCCAACCUAUUUCUUUUAUUGGAAUGGAUGUGUAAAAACACACUCAAAAUUCCUCUCACAACCGGAAGCACAACAUGUUUGACUUAGAAGGCGAAUUGUCAACCUUUGCAAAUUUGGUGUACGACAUCCAUAAGUUUCCCACCAUUGAUCUACAACAUUACAUGAAAUCUAACUCAAUAUCUUGUUUAAUAAUAAACAUUUAAGACAAUUAAUGAUAGAAAAUAAAGAUAGUUACCAAAUAUGAAAUACUAAUUGUAACGCCCCGAAAAAUACUUCUAAAAAACAUUGCGAAAAAAUGGGUAAAUUUUUUGUGUGAAAUGAUUUAUAUAAAAUUGCCUCCUUUUCUGGGACAUCACUUUAAGUAACUCGAAUGCGGAAAAUCAACUUAUCGUUAUCGAAUGAUAACUUAACCUGAUUCACAAUUUCCUGAAUAAUACAAUGCAUAUAAUCGGUUAAGUUAUAGUUAGUUCAUAUAGAUUAGGUCAACAAAGGCGGAAACUACAUCGCCACUAACAUAUACAAAAAUCUAAAAGAAACACAGCCCCCACCAAAAACAAAGGGGCAUCGACUGGCCACAAGCUGACUCAAAAGAUUUCAGGAAUGCUUGACCCCUCACUCGAGUCCUCCUCCUCUUCCGAGUCAGACACGAGGUCGAUCACCUCCAGCGAGCUCUCUACAUUUAGGAGCUCAACGACCUCGUCCUCUUCUUCCUCUUCCUCCACUUCAUUAUGGCAUAACUCAGCGGCAUAAUUCGGAGGGGAUGACAUUCUCAACCUUACCAUUUAGUUCAUCAUUUAUCAUUAACAUAUGAAUAAUACACAACUUACCAUUUAUUCCAACCUUACCAAUAUAUCAAGUAAUAUAAUCAUCAUUCUACUCAUAACCACAUCGCAUGCAUAAACGUAGGAAUACACAAUGCUUGUAACUCACAUGUAGGAAUUCACUUCCAUAAUGGUAUUGUAUGCAUGAUAUGUCAUGGUUAUCCACCUUACACCAAUAUCCAUCCAACAUCCUAAUCAGAAAUAAUCGAGAGUACAGGUCCCAUACCAAGCCUCUUUGUACGCACCCGAAAUGACAUAUCCUCGCAAGGAAUUAAAAAUAGAUCGAUCGUACAAACGCUUUCUGGGCAUCCCUCUCAUCGCUCUCGAAUGCAAUCCAGGGGUUGUCAGAGAUUGCCUUGUUUGGCCUGUGAGAACUGUCCGAUCCAACAGGGUACCUCCCCAGGAAUACAAGGGACUCGUCUCACCCAGACUCUCCCUCAAGACAUUGUUGGCGAAUCACCGUCCAAUCAGUGCCGUCCCUACUUACAUCACGGUGCUCUAAGUCGUCCAGUAUAUUUCCUCUCCACUACUUCAUGGUCACAAUGCAAUGCAUUCUUAGACAAAGUCAAUUUAAAAUGUAUUAAUCAAACACAUGAUCAACCCAUCCUUAAGCCAUCUCCUGACAAGGAAUGUUUCUCAUGGGACCCGAUAGUACGUCAACCGUACAUGCUCAACGUAAUAUCUCAUUCACUACAACCCAUCACCGAAUAAUCCUGGACGGUCACAUGACCAGGCCUCUUACGGUCGGUCGAUCGUUGUUCCGUGAUAUCAUGUAUCCUUACUAGGGUACCCCUUAGUUCAAGACCUCAAGUCGGAUACUUGUCUAACAAGGUAUAAACAUAAACAAUGCUUUCAAACUUUUGUGGAGUCAUGCUUCUCAUCUAAGCCAUGAUCUCAUUCCACAACUUAUAUAUCACAACACACCCUACCCGGGUUCAUCACAUUGUUCACAACAUCAUCUUAUUUCAAUCUUUCCACACUGUCCCUCACCAAAGCAGGGAUUAAUCGCUCAAGCGACAAUUCAUCUUUAAAUCUCAAAUAAACUGAAGCCUUCCUCGCCCAGGCGAAGGCACUAUCGCCGAAGUGAGGCCUAUUCUCGCUCAAGCGAGACAUCUCUCGCCCAAGCGAGAGAGUUCCAAGGGCUAAUUAAAAUCAUGGGCGUUCUCGCUCAAGCGAGGCCCUUACUCACCCAGGCAAGGCUUGCUCGCCCAAGUGAGAUUCUGUCGCCCAGGCGAGGGAGUUCCAGAACCAAAACUUCCCCUCGCCCAAGCGGGCAUGUGCUCGCCUAGGCGAAAGUUUCUCGCCCAAGCGACUAGGACUUGGACAGAAUACCAAUUUUGCCCUUCUCGACAACCGUAACACAUUUAAACAUGGUUUUUCAAACACCUGCACACAGAAAAGUUCCCAACAACAUUCAUAUGCAAUAUUCAACUCAUUUCAUCAAUAAUCAUGUAUAUUCACAAGCAUUCAAACAUAAAAAUCUUGGGUUUCUUAAAAUCCAAGUUAACCCCAAAACCUUUGAGAUGGUUUAGGAGAUCCGGGUGUCAUAUUCGGACACCACUAUGUCACGAUGUGUUCUCUCUCACCUUAAUGAAGCGUGCUUUAACUCGUCAACUAAGGUGGUUUNNNNNNNNNNNNNNNNNNNNNNNNNNNNNNNNNNNNNNNNNNNNNNNNNNNNNNNNNNNNNNNNNNNNNNNNNNNNNNNNNNNNNNNNNNNNNNNNNNNNUACAUUCUCAUUUUUCCAAAACACUUCCUAAAGGUUCCUUUGAUUUCAUCAUCAUCCCAUUUGGCUAAAACAACCAAAUACAUGUAAUAAAACAUUAUAACAACUCCAUGAACACAAGUUGUUCAUGGUUUCAACAAAAUAUUUUCAUAAGUUCAAGAACACCACCAUUUUCGGUUUUGAGGUGAGAAUGAGUUAGAAAGCGUUUUAGAAAAUUUCAACGGUUGAAUAUGUUCUCGACAUGCUCAUGAACAACAUACUUAAAUCUCAUCAACAUCCAUUGGUUGAAUGUUGAGAGAUCAAGGAUUGAAGAUGGAAGAAGCAAAUGAGAAAUGAGAGGAAAAGAUGAAGAGAGAAUUUUACCUUCUCUUUGAAAAUGAAAGAGUGUGAGAGUGAAGUGUGAAGUGUGAGGGUUUAAGGAGAGAAGGGAAAUCAGAUUUCCCUCUAUGAAAUCAUCAAAAUCUCCUAGGGUGGCUAAUGAUGAUCUCAUGAGAUAUUUGAGAAAGUGAUGUGAGGUUUGCUUUAUGGAAAAACAAAUUUCACAUCUCAACGCGAAAUGACCAAUUCGCAGACACGUGCGAUAAACAUGCCCGAGUAUUAUCGGCCAAUACUCGAUCGGGUAUUAUAAAUCGCCCGAUUUUAAUAUCUGAUUAGAAUUUCGGAUUUCGGCAUUCCGAGUGAAAAAUAUUUAGGAAGUAGGUAUGGGUGUACUCAGGGUCUAUAUUGACUCUAAAUGAUAUUACAAAGCCAACGGCGCAAUCAUAAUUCGAUUCCGAGUUACGGAACUCAAAAACCACUUUUUGAGCCGUACAGGAUGAGAUUCGGCCCCGACAGCAGUCCAAAACCGACUGUCUCUAAAAAUCAUGAAAAUUUAUCACCAAAUUGGAAAUAGAAUUACAAGACUAAAACUCAACUAGAGUUUCGUCUAAUUGUUUACCGAAAAUUCCCACAAAUUCAUUUUCGAAAAUAUAAUUAAUAACAAUAUUAAUAAAAUCUUAUAAUUCAAAAUCGUAAAAUUCGCGAUGUUACACUAAUUAUAUCUGACAUUACUUUAUUUCGUUCUUGUAUAGCAGUCGCUCUUCCAAAAUCUAACUCAACAUUUUUAUAUAUCCUCAUCUCACUAGUUAGCUUAUCUAGCAAAUCAGGAUCUCCAUGAGCAUGGUUCUCAAAAACAUCCAAAAAGUUGGAUGUUGUGAACAUAUGUUUUUCAAAUUCGUCAACAUUGAAGAAACAUUAUGGAUUGAGCCAAUACCCAACAACAUGGAGAUUUCUUUUUAAUUGCAAAUCCCUCCGAUUAUCCAUAAUUUCCAAAUAAGGUUUUAUUUUGGUCUUGUUUCUUUGAAACCUCAUCUUCAUCUCAUGUCCAACUUUAAAGAAUGUUUGAUAAAGAAAACUCAUCGCAGACUUUUCCUCACUGUUAACAAUUUGUAACACACGAAGAAGUGGCUCAGUAAUUUUAACAAUGUCAACACAUUGUUUUCAAAAGUUUGAAUCCAACAAUUGUUCUAUGCAUUUUUUUGCAUUAACAUCUUUGGAAUAAGUUGAGCUUGUCCAUUCUCUAGAUGUUACAAGAGCUCUAAGUGCAUCCUUUUGAGUGAAGAUACUUUGCAAUGCAAUAAAGUUAGUGGCAAAGCGAGUUGGAGGUAGACGGAUUAUUUCUUUCCCAUGAGUGAAAUGUCUCAUUAGAUACAAUGGAUGGUAGUGAUUAUAUAGAUACUUAGUAAUUUUGCAGCAUGUAAUAUUUUGUUAGUUACUUCUAGUAACUUUCCAAUGUCUUGAAAUAUCAAGUUAACACAACGAGCCACACAUGGGGACCAAAACAGGUGAGGGAACUCAAUCUCCAAUAACCUACCAACAACAACAUAGUUAGCAGCAUUGUCCGUAACAAUAUGAACAAUGUUCUCAAGGACGAAAUACAUCAUUACCUCCUUGAAAAGCUUGAACAACAAAUCUACAGUUUUGGAAGCAUGUGAAGCAUCAACAGACUUUACGAAGACAAUCUCUUUAGGACAAUAGAAAAUAAAAUUAAUAAGAGUUCAUUUGUUGUGAUCAGUCCAACCAUCUGCCAUAAAAGUGCAUCCAAUUCGCUUCCAAAUAGAUCGAUAAUCAUUUACAUGUUUUUUCAGGUCUUCAAAUCCACUUGUUUAGCAAAUGACCACGAACAUGAUAAUAGAUGGGACCUUUAUAACCCGAACUCAUGCUACAAAGGGCAUCAAUCAUGAGUUGAUAAUAUGCUGAGUUAGUUGCAUUAAACGGCACAGAAGCAUCAAUCAUUCAUUUGGAGAUGACGAUGUCACAUUUCUCAAUCACUUUUUUACAUUGCAUGACACUUUUUAAAGUGGGUUAAGCACUAGGAAUUGUUCUAGGCAUAAAGUAAUUGUCAAUAUGACCUUUCCCUUUCUGAGAUCAGUGCUGCCCAUGGCGAAUGGCGGAUGGCGACUGCCAAAAUUCAGCCAUGAAGGUGUUGCAGAUAGCAUUGCAGGCAAAUGGCGGACGACAUCAUGACGGUUGAAAAAAAUAAAUAAAAAAUAUAACAUAAUAGGAAAAAUAAAAUGAUAAAUACAAUAACACAAAAAUCAAACAAUAACAUAAAGUUUAAUAAAAAUUAGUAAAUAUUAAUGUCUCAUAGAGAUCACUAAAAAGUAAAUAAACAAUACUAAUAAGUCUUGUCAACAUUCACAACUAAAGAUCAAAGGAAAACACAAAUAUAAAACGCAAAAGAUAUAAUUUUCUAAAUAUCUUCCUCCUCCCCAACAUUAUCCUACACAGCUGCAAACUGAGUAACAUGAUAAUUGCAAUAUGAUAAAGCAAACUUUAAAAAAAUGCUGAAAAAAAAUAUAAAUUGGAAAAAAAAAAUUCUGCACAAAAAUAUCUGGAAAAAAAACAAACUAAUCUGGACAAAAAAAAUAAUCUAAAUAUAAUGUAAAUUAGAAAAAAAAAGUAAUAUGAAAAAAAAAUGUAUUAUAAAAAUAAAAGAAAACAAAAUAAAAAAAAUAGAUGAAGAGAUGAGAAAACUAGAAAAAAAAAGAUAAAUAAAAAUAAGGAAAAAGAAAAGCAAUGAAAAGGAGUUAACAAACCUAUGAAUGGUGGUAGCAGCAGCGACAGUGGAGACAGAUAAUGAAGUUUUGAGAGAGGGAGGCAAUAGAUAGAAGAUGCAAAAAAAAUAGAAAGGUUAUGAUUUUAAUUUUGAAAACAUGGAAUUGACCAAAAAAAACACAUCUGAGCCCAAUUUUUUUUUAAAAAACUGUCCAGAAAGGAAAAUUUCCGCCAUCCCCACCAUGGCGGCUUUUUUUAACAAAAGGCGGACACGGCCAUGUGGCGAAAAUUUCCAAAUGGCUAAUGGCGGUUGCCCAAAAAACGCAACUGCCAUCCGCCAUGGCCGCAAUUGGACAACACUGUCUGAGAUGUAGAUGUAUGAGGUGCUUCAAUCAGUUGAGUGUGCAAUAAAUCAGUAACUUCAUCACAAGGAUUACCAUCCUUGUAUUCCUCUUCUACUUUCCUUUUUUUGCUCUUCAUUUCAUCAAUUGAUUUCUAGAUAUGAUGUUGAAUAUAUGUUGGUAAUUUUUAUACUUUUCAACUUAUCCUUUUUACUCCAGCCAAAUGAGUCUUAAAUCGAGUGAUGCCACCCCUUUGAUUUUUUUCAUGCAAAAAAGACAUAAUAGAAUCGUUCUUCCAUUAUUAGCAACAACUUGUUUACAAUGCGUCUAAGCUGAAUCUGAUUUCCCCUAUGACUGCUUGUAGAAGUAUUUUUCGUUGAUACUUCUUGUGAUGUUGGGAAAUCAGGGUCAUUAGUGUCAUGUAUUUCUACAAUAUGAGUAAUUAAGAACAACUAAAUAUAAUUCCAUUAUUGAUGACUAUUUUUCACUUACAAUCUUACACGGAGUAAAACAAUGUUAUUUCGAUAGCAUGAACAAUACUAUUUGUACUACUUUAGAAAGCAAUUUGGUAAACUGCAACAUAAACCAAAACAUAAAAUUCAAAAAUUUCAGAAUUCCUAAACAUUUCAUCAAAACAAUAUGAUAUGAAAUAACAUUUCAGAAUUCCUAAGCAUUUCAUCAAAAUAGUACGAACAAUUAAUAACAAUUUAGAUAAGUGAAAGCUUGGAAUUCAACUAGCUGCCGAAUUAAGUGAAUUAAGUGACAAUUCAAAAUCUUGCAAUUCACAAUGUGACAGUUCAAAAUGGAAUUCAAAUGCUUCCAAAAUUAAGUGAAUUAACAUUAAUGAAUAACAUAACUCAAUUAGAAGUUGGCCGUAAUAAAGAGAUGAUGCUUAAAAAAUCUCCCUUUCUAAUUACUCUCUAUCUAAAUGAGUCUAGAAAACAAGUAAUCACAGUAGGUAAAUAAGAAAUGAACAGUUACUAAGAGCAAUAAGGAACAUAUUAUAACGGACAUAUUUGUAUCUAUAAAUUUCAAAAAGUAGAAGGGAAAAUUAGAAGUUAAGAAAACCUUAUUAAUACUAAUUAGGAAUAGCUUCAAUCAAUAAUUUAUGCCCUAUGGAUGAGAUCAGAAUGGUUUGACCUAAAUUAAUAGUAUGAGUAAGAGUAUGGUGUUACCUCAAAUUCAAAAGGUUGGAUGAUGAAGAAGACGAUGGAAGAGAUUGGAAUCACAGAACCGGUGGAAGAUGAUGUGUCGGUGGAAGGGAUUGGACGGAGAUAUGUUGAAUAUUUGCUGGAGAAAAAGUGAAGAAUGUUGUUGAAAAGUGAACUGGAGAAAACGAUGGAAGAGAUUGAAAUUACAUAAUCGUGGUUUGCAAUGCUUAGAAGCUUGGAGGUGGAACCAUGGAAGAAGAGUUGAAGAAUGUUGUUGAAGUUGGAAGUGAAGGAACGUGUAGUGAAGGGGGGUUGGAAGUUGAAAAGGGGAAACCCUUUCC
rnacentral:lncRNA from 1 species